GAGAGGAGACCCUCGCUCAG
rnacentral:piRNA from 1 species